AAUGUAAUGCCUACAAUGUUAAUGCACCAAAUCCCAUUAGAACUCCAUAGUUAAGUGCGCUUAGGCUAGAGUAGUAGUGGGAUGGGUGAUUUUCUAGGAAGUCCUAGUAUUUUACAUGC
rnacentral:rRNA from 1 species